rnacentral:tRNA from 1 species
GGGGAGGUGGCAGAGCGGUUUAAUGCGACUGUCUUGAAAACAGUUGGACGCGAGUCCCCAGGGUUCGAAUCCCUGCUUCCCCG